rnacentral:tRNA from 1 species
GCUGGUGUGGUGGAAUGGCAUACACGCUCGCCUUAAGAGCGAGUGCUCACAAGGCAUAAGGGUUCGACUCCCUUCACCAGCACCA